AGCAAGAUAAACAAAAUAAAUAAUCAUCCAAGACAAUACAACAACAACAUAACAACAUAGUCCCACAAAGUAGGAUCUAGAGAGGGUAGAGCAUAUGCAAACCUUACCCCUACCGCAAAGGUACAUAAACUGUUUCUGAUAGAUCCUCGGCUCAGGAAAAACAAUCGGAAGUAAUGAAGAUACAAGAAACAAGAAACAAUGACAAAAAUAGCAUACAGUAACAGAACAAAAACUACAACACACAAUAUACUAAUUGAGGUAUAAAAAACAACAGAUAGAGUAACAUACCAAUGAGUUGCUUGCUAAUUUCUCUAUUUCUCCUUCAUUUUCUUUUCCUAUUUCCAUGCAUGCAAUUCUCAAAAUCUGAACAAUUACUCUGCUAAUUAGUCUCUAAUUAACACCACAAAUGUCUAGAAAAAAAUUAAUUUGUAAAGAAGAAAGUAUUAACAUCCAAAUAUUCUUCAAUAAUCAUACCUUUAAGUUGACAAAAUGGGACAAAGCAGUUGAAAUAAUUACUUCGCCAAAGACAAACUUGAAAGGCCAAAGAAGAUUUAAAAAGUUACUCCAGUACUUCCCCGUUCACAUUUAAUUGUCAUAUUGCGCUUUUAGAAAGUCAAUUUUUUGCAUAUUAAUAUGAUAAAAAAAAUACAUCAUAAAAUAUUAGUCAAAGUUGUUUGACUCUAAAAAUAGAAAUCAUAACAAUUAAAAGUGGAUGGAGAAAAUAAUUUAUAUUCCCUUAUAUAAAUUAUUAUUUCUGAACAUGAUAUCGCAUAGCACUUUUUUUAUUUUCAAAUACUUGACCUUUUAAUUUAUAAAUUACGUAAAAAAUAUUAUAAUAAAUUAAUAAUUUAAAAAAUAUAUGGAAAAAUUAAAUUUUAAAAAAAUAACUCAUUUAACUCUUGAAAUCCGAAUACAAUCCCAGGGUGGAGGCAGUAGUACACAUUAUCAUCUUAGUCUUUGUAAAUUAAAUAAUUAAUUGUCAUCUUCAAGUCUCUGUAAUCAAUUGUGGAAAAUAUAAUAUUUUACACUCCACUUGUUUUGAGAUUACCUAUAAAAAAAUUCUUUCUUUUUUUGUGGGUUUGUAAACUUCCCUAUCUGAUUCCAAUUGGAUGUUCUUUUUGGGCGUGCUCGGUAGAGAAAUAAAAUAUUAUUCUAUAAAUAUUUGUGUAUAAGACGUGAGAGUUAAGUGGUGGGUGUGUGGGGCUACGCGGAUGAGGGUGAUGAUGAGGUGUAUUGAGAGUAGAAAAAGGGUAUAAUUUGUUUUUUCUUUCUAAGAAAAAAGUCAUUAAGAUGUCUCAACUCAUCCUCCUGAUGCUUAUUGCACGACACAUAAAUUUUAAAAAGUGUCUAGAUAAUCAUUUUGUAUUAGUGUGUAAAUGACUUUUCAUGCAAUUAUAGGGGUGUCUUGUGUCUUUUUUCCAUGAUUAAACAAAUAUAAGAUGGUAAUUAAUGUGUAACUUUUGACCAUGAGACUAAAAGAAAAUAUUAAAAAAUGACUAGUCUAAAGUAGUACUGUGAAUUGUCUUUUUAUAUUGUCUAAUUAUUUCUUCUUUCUAGUAGUACCAGUAAUACUCCAAUUCUCAAUUCCUUUAAGCACUUCUCAUACACAAUUUUUUUUUGAACUAUAUCAAUUUUUUACAAUAUGAUUGGUCAAUUUUUUUAUUUAUAAAAAUAAGAAAAAUGACUUUUCUAAUAAAAACAAGAGAAACAAGUUUCACAAGUGACAUUCUAAAACACUAUUUAUUUUGAAACAGAGGGAGUAAUACACCUCACUGCUCAGACCAAAUAUAUAGGAAUCAUAAAAUUGCAUGUUUUGACUUUUAAAUGGGCUAGUCUUUAAUUUUUGUCUUUUAACAAUCAAAUUUAUACCUAAAAAGAUAUAAAUUUUUUAGCAAGUGAAAUCAUAUCUCGACAUAAUUUAUAAAAUAUUAUGAUACGAAAAUAUAAAUUUAUCCUCCUCAAAAAAAUUUAUUCAAAAGUGCAAAUGACUAAAUAGGAACCCCACUUAGUGAGACAUUAUUAGUGGGCUUAUUUUAAUAACUUUACAACUCUCUACUGGAAAAGAAAAGAUUCUAAUUACACCAUUAAUUUUCCUUCGUUUUUAGUUUGAUGGAAGGAAUUUUUUUUUGAACUACUUUGGCUUGAUUAGUGAGAAUGGAAAGAGGAAAAGAAAAUGAAGGACAAACAAAUGGGGAAGAUAACAAAUCAUUGGUAUGUUGCAUAUAAUAAUUAAUUAUUUUUUUCAUUCACAUAAUUAAUUAUUAGAUAGUACAAGCCCGUGCAAGCACGGGCCCAACUUUGUGCUAUCGUAACUUGGAGUGAUUAUGAGCUGAUUCAUCCACAAUAGUCGAACAGCAGAAGUUUACUACUCUCAGAGCCAUAAGUUGAAGAUGAGGUAAGACAUAUUCGAUUAUUUCAUACUCAAUGCAACCAUUUACUUUCAACCUAUAGAAAUCUCUUAAAUUGCCAAAUACAUUCUGAAGAAGCUCACAUUGAGUAAUUGAUGGGAAAAUAGAUUCAGAACAACACUUGAAUAGACUUUGGAGAUACAUGUGGAUGGCAUCUAAAAAGUUCAACGAAACGAUCCUCGGUCAUGGUUGUUACACGGCUUGGUUCAACAUAGCUAUGUGAGCUAAUAUAACUUUUGAAAUUCUCCAAGAGGUGAAAAAACAUUCUAUCAACCAGCAUGUCUACUCCACUUGGAUGAAACAGUGACUGAACGAAAUCAUGAAUCUCAUUGGAUAUGCAAGACAUUUCGUCAUUACAACUUUCCAAAAUAAAGAGUAAUAAAGACCACAAAAUGCGGACACAAACGUCAGCUUCAAUGUCAAGAGAAGUUCGAACACGCCCACUAGUUAACCUCUCUAUGAAAUCUAGAAGAUUGUCGAUGUCCUCGCGAAGUACAACGCGGGAUGACACCUGCCAAAAGACCAAAUGUUGUUUCAAAUUAUGUUAAUACAUAGAUGGUGAUAAUUUAGAUAGAAAAAAGGGAACGACUAAUAUAGUUGAGGUGUGAAACUCGCCAAAACGUGAUAGCUCAGGCAUGUUUUGAUUGUUGACUCUAAUUUUUACAACAAGCAACUGUUACAAGUGCAGAGGACAAAGUGCAGAGGACUUUCCCUUGCUUUUUAUGUUCUUCUACAGAACUAAUUAUUUUUCACUAUAAUUGAAAAGUUGAAGUCUUUGCCCUUUAAAAAAUAUAUAUUUUAAAUGUACUAUUUUUUUUGUUACUUAUAAUUAUAUUUUUUUUAUUUGUUUAAUUUUAUAUUGGAUGAUAAAUAUAUAGGGUAAAAUAAGCAAAUCAUGUAUUAGUAUUGACAUUGCUUAAAGUGCAUUAAGCAUGUUUUAGUCCUAGAAUGCAAAUAUUCAUUUACUUUGAAAUUAAAAAUGUUUCCCCCUUGUUAUUACAUAAUUUUAUUUUAUAUUGAAAAAUUAUAGGAUUUUUUUUACUUUUAUGAUACAAUAAAACUAAAUGAAGCAUUUUUCAUCUAAAAAAAGACUAAAAUAUUUUCUCCAUGUUGAAUUCUUAAGUAGAUUACUAUUUACUCAUGAAAAUAUGGGUAAAAUAUAAGUAAACUAGUAUUUUACCCAAUCUAUUUUUACCCAUAUCAAAUAUGGACGGGUUGAAUUAUUAACCCAUUUUAUGUUGACCCAUUUUCAACCCGCCCAAAUUUUACCCAACCCGCCCAUUUGUCACCCCUAUUCUUAAGCCAUUCCAAACAUGUUGUACUUAGGCCACCAAUGCCCGAUUCUCAUGAUCUAAUACAAGGUUUGAUUAUAUUCUUGCCCUUACUAUCAACCAUAGCAGAUGAUUUAGUACAUAGAGUUUAACUUAUACCAGAAAGAUUAAAUCAUCGAUUCUUAUAGGUUAUAAAGAUUAUAUUCACCAUCUAAGUUACACAAAGCAACAAAAACAUUAAUUAUGUGAAUGAAAAAAAUAAUUAAAUAUAAUAAACAACAUACCAAUGAUUUGUUAUCUUCCCCUUUUGUUUGUCCUUCAUUUUCUUUUCCUCUUUCCAUUCUCACUAAUCAAGCCAAAGUAGUUUUUUUUUUUAAAAAAAUCCUUCCUUUCAACUUCUCAAGAGAAACAAUUUACAUCAAACUAAGAAUGAAGGAAAAUCAAAGGUGUAAUUAGAAUCUUUUGUUUUCCAGUUGAGAGUUGUAAAGGUGUUAAAGAUAAGCCCACUAAUAAUGUCUCACUAGGUGGGGUUCCUAAUUGGUCUUUUGCCUUUUAAGAAUAUAUUUUUCGGAAAAGGGUCAAAAAUAUUUUUAAACUACGUGAAAUGAACAAAAAAUCCUUCAUUUAUAGUUUGGCUCAAAAAUGUCCUUGCCAUCAAUUUUCGUCACCUAUAUAACAUCAUAGUAUAUCCAUCUUUAAUUUUCAUUUAUAUAACAAUAAAAAAUAAUUAUAAUAAAAUAAGAAUUUUUUUUUUUUAAAAAAAAAUUGAAGUAGGAUAAACAUUCACUAAUUUUAAAAAAUAUUAUUAGAAAAAAUAUGUGUUAAGAAGAAAAUAAAUAAUAUAUUUAGUUGGAAGGGCAUUUUUGACCCAUUAAAUAAUAAUAAAGGCGUUUAUGGACGAAAGUAAUGAGGCAAGGGUAAUUUUGGACCAAAUUAUAAACGGAUGACAUUUUUGUUCAUUUCACAUUGUUUAAGGGUGUUUCACUUAUGAAACUUGUUUCUCCUGCUUUCAUUUGAAAAGUCAUUUCCUUAUUUUUAUAAAUUAAAAACUCAUUUUUCUAAAGAAAAAAAUUGACCAAUCAAUUUUUUUAAAAAAAAUAUAUAUAUUUCAAAAAAUUGUGUAUGAGAAGUGCUUGGAGGAAUUGAGAAUUGGAGUAUUAUUGGUACUAGAAAGAAGAAAUAAUUAGACAUUGAGAAUUGGACAAUAUAAAAAGACAAUUCCCAAGACUACUUUAGACUAAAGUCAUAUUUUUAUAUUUUCUUUUUAGUCUCAUGGUCAAAAAGUUACACCUGCAUUAUCAUCUUAUAUCGUUCAAUCAAGGGAAAAAGACAUAAAAUACCCCUAUAAUUGCAUGAAAAGUCAUUUACACACCAAUAAUUAUAAACAUAUUUUACUUGAUCAGUGCGUGUUUGUAGCUUAAUUUUUUUCUUCUUCUUGUCAUACAGGUUUUAUUUGUGUGCUUUAUAUAAAGCACCAUAACCUAUGGAUCAAUGGCAACAAUGGGGUACUUAAUGUAUGGACAAAAUUUAAUGUCACAAAUAAAAUUAAAUCUCCCUAUUGGAAAAAUUAGUUUGAAAAUCGCGAUAUAUACGAUACUCGUUAAUUCAAUAACAAAGUAUGCUCUUGUCGUCUCUCCAAUUGCAACAACUAUUGAAGAUAAAUUACCUUUACAAAAGAGUAAAUUUAUCAUGAGCUACUUCAUUAGAACAUUUUUUGUCAUCAGCAUGGUCAUUGUGGCAUUAACCGUUCCAUUUUUUGGAUAUGUCAUGACAUUUACAGGCGCGCUUUUGAACGUUACCGUGUCGAUAUUUUUACCAUGCAUAUGCUACCUCAAGAUCAAGAAGUCUCAUAUUUGGAAGUUAUGUUUAUUGGGAUGAUUUUGGUUUCUGGUUCUUCAAUUGCCAUAUCUGAAACUUACACUUCUUUGGAAAACAUAAUUAGUCAUGUCUAAAGGUGACAAAUGAACGGUUUGGACAAAAUUUGAAUGGGUUAGAAUGGACUGAAUCAAUGGGUCGUUGCUCAAUCCUGUCCUAAGUUUAUUUGGACUAUAAUAAGCUAAGUCAAGAUGGGCUAAAUAAUGAUUUGUAGCCCAAACCACUCGAUCAACUUGACCCCACCAUUUUUUUUUUUGGAAAUAUCAAUAAAUAUUAUAAACUAAAUAUUCCCAAACCAAUCAAACAUUGUGUGCACAAAUUCAAUUAGGGAACCAAUUUGCAUAACUUCUAUUUUCUGCUAAGCAAGUUAAAUUCAAAGCCUAGUGACUUCACCGUUAUAGUGGGUAAAGUUCAGUUACUUUAAUGUGAUAAUCAAUAAAUUUGUGACUUUACUAUCAAGGAACAUACAAAAGAAAGGAAGACAAAACAAAUACUAUAGGAAGCAUUACAAAACAUUUAAGAAAAAGAAACCGUAAGAACAACAAAAUAACGUUAUGAAAAGCAAGUACACAUACAAUAUAGAGAACACAAGUACUGAUAGCUAGCUAGCACUGUUUAGACUUGAUAAUGACAAAAAUAGCAGAUAGUAACAGAACAAAAACUACAACAAAACAAUAUACUAAUCGAGGUACAAGAAACAACAGACAGAGUAACAUACCAAUGAGUUGCUUGCUAAUUUCUCUAUUUCUCCUUCAUUUUCUUUUCCUAUUUCCA
rnacentral:lncRNA from 1 species